GACAACCCACACAUUACAUAAGAAAGGAGUUCCUCUCCUAAGUGGGUGCCUGACCUGGGAGAAGGACAUCCGGCCCAGAAACAUCAUCUGGCACCUCUGGGGAAUUCCAAGCUUGCCAAUGGGGAGACAGAGAACUAAUGCCCUCAGAUUGGGUCAUUGAUGGCUACCCCGAGGGUAAUUAGACACCUUGAUCAAUGAGAGCCGAAAGGGAAUUGCAGCCCCUCUUGUGCACCCAAGUCAGAAGGCUCAGGUGAAAGGGGCUAGAGGAGGGGGGCCGUGAGGUCACGGCCCUGGGCAGGCCCCAUUGGAGACGCGCGCCCCUCAACCCCCUUGCUGCCCCCUUGACUCCCCACAUCUCGCGCUUGUCUGUGAAACCGGAGCCCACCUUGCCUCCGUUCAGUCCACAGACGUUUUCGCCAAGGACUUGGGACCUGCUGGCUGUGACAGGGGCUCUGUGUGCAACCGUGAGACGUGGCAGCCUAGAGGGAGCCUUUUGGGAUCGAGAGAGAUGAGGUAAGUGAGAGGCCGCUGCAGGCCCCACGGAUGGCUUGCUGGGGCAGGUCGGGGGGCCUCCCUGUGUGACGCACAUGAGCGGCUCCCCCCAGCACAGAGGCGGGGCCCUGGGAGGGAGGGGUCCCCCAGUUGGGGACGCGAUGCCCCGGACUCUGCCCUGCCGGCUGGCCCCCACCUGCGCUCUCCUGAGGUCUGGAGCUCCGUCUUCCUGCCUUCGCUCCCUCCUCUGCGAGGCUGCUCCCUCUGCCUGGAGCCCUCCUCCCGCUGCCUGGCCAGGUCCUCAUUUCUCACAGUUCAGCCCAAAUUAUUAGCACUUCUAUAGGCUAUGAAGCCAGGUCCCCCUCAAACCGAGUUCCUCUGCUGGAUUUAUAAUCAUCCUCUCCAAAACCUCAUUCCUGUCCCAGUUCCCCUCAGGAUUGAGGAAUAUCAAAGAAAAGGGGGAUUGGGCUUUCCUGACAGGCCAGUGGUUAAGACUCCUUGCUUCUAAGGUGGGGGCAUGGGUUCAAUCCCUGGUCAGGGAACUAAGAUCUCACAUGCUGCGUGGCACAGCCAGAAAAACAAACAAACAAAAAAAGAAAAGUGGGGCUUCCCUGGCGGCGCAGUGGUUAAGAAUCCACCUGCCAAUGCAGGGGACACAGGUUUGAGCCCUGGUCCGGGAAGAUCCCACAUGCCGCGGAGCAACUAAGCCCGUGCACCACAACUACUGAGCCUGCGCUCUAGAGCCCACGAGCCACAACUACUGAAGCCCACAUGCCACAACUACUGAAGCCCGUGUGCCUACAGCCUGUGCUCUGCAACAAGAGAAGCCACCCAAUGAGAAGCCCGAGCACUGCAACGCAGAGUAGCCCCUGCUCGCCGCAACUAGAGAAAAGCCCGCGCGCAGCAACAGAGGCCCAACGCAGCCAAAAGAUAAAAAAAAAUAAAUUUUAAAAGGCAAGGGGGAUUGAAACUGAGCAGGAUCCUGUGAGGCUCUCCCGGGUACAAAAGCCCCUCCGUGAUCCCCCGUUUCUUGCUUGCAGAAAAAGGCUUCAGUCUCCUAGGCCUUCCCUGAGUUCCAAAGAGCAGAUUCAAGCAGGUACUAGUUACGGAAGUGAGGGAAUGCAGAUUCACAGGUGAAGCAAGUCAUGAUAAUAAUUCAGGGACAACACAGUCUUCGCUCCUCCUCAAGGAAUACGCAUAACAACCUGAGGCAUAUCCUUGAGCUGAUCUGCAGAAACAGGUGAAGGGUGGUGCUGGCCACAGCUGACCACAAGCACUAUAGCCCCCAGAGGCUGAUGACUGAGAUUCCUGAACCGCCACCUGUUACCUCACCACCAACCAAUCAGAAGAAAGUGCACGGCCCGCAGCCCUCCCCAAAAGUGUCGCCUCCAAAACCCCUUCCCGGAAAGCCACUGGGGAGUUUGGGUCUUUUGAGCGCGAGCUGCCUGUUCUCUGUGCUUGGCACCUACAAUAAACGCUGCGCUUCCCUUCACCACAACCCGGUGUCAGAAGACUGGCUUUGCUGUGUCAGGCGAGCAGACUCAAGUUCGGUCCAGUACAGUUAGGUCCAUCCUUACAAGCUGAGACCAUCGGUUUCCUUCGUGGCACCUUCCAGAGCUCUAAUUAAAAGCCUGUUGGUGGAACCACGAGCGCAGGGUCUGCCUUUCCCACUGCGCUGUCCUUGCGUGAGGUCAGGGGCUUUGCGUGACCCGUGUGGUGCAGCCGGCACAGGGCAGCACACAGCAGGUGCCCAAGAGGAGGCCAUUGCAUGGAUAAAUGAUGAACAAGCACUUGAAUGUGUGGCCGGGAGAUGGCGGGAGGCUGUCACCACGCAGCGACUGGGCUGCAAACCAGGGAGACAAUUCUUAGGCUGAUGACUGAAUGGGAUGCUCACGUUGUGAUCAAUGACUCGUCUUUGCAACUUGGACAUUUUUGCCUUUUGGCCUAAAUGUCUUCAGACCUGGAGAGGUGAGUCCUAACAGAAGGGCCCCUGGAGCAGGACAAAACACCCCUCGUGAAACGGACUCGUGUUAUUUCUGUGACCCUGGAUAUACGGUGCCCCCGGGGCAGUGGGGACGAACGUCCCUCUUGUGGGAAGGGCUUUCCUGCCCUCAGAGCCCAGGUAACAGUGCGCUCACCUGGGCCCCAGCUCCACCAUGGAUCAGAACAUUUCCAGAAGGUUCCUGUGCUCAGGUGGAGGUCAGGGCCCACUGUGCCCGGGUCAGGGCUCCUGGGUGGGGGGCACACAGCUUGAAGCAGGUGCAGGGCAGGGUCCUGAUAAGACCCUGUGGGCCUCUGUGGGCCUCCAGGAGACUGCGCACCUUGGGUUUCACCUGCUGAUGGCAGGCCCAGCCACACCCCAUGGACAGGCUGCCCCCUCACCCACGGGGACCUGGGCCACAGUCCAGCGUAGGCCCGGAGCUUUCUAGGGCUUGACCUGGAGUUAGUCACCUGGCAGCCCCGCCCUGCCGUCGCCCACCCGGGGCUGAGCCCGCAGGUCCCAGCCAGCCUUACUCAGCACUCACCUGUGCCGGGGCUGCAGGCGGUGCUCCGCUGCCUUGACCCAAGGCCUUGCAGCCCUUCCUGCCAGUCCCCCUGUGGGCCUGGCCGAGGCCCAUCUCUCUGCAGUGCGGACGUGGAAGGUCGGGGCUCUGGGCCCAAGUGCCACGGGCAAGGGGAAGCGAGCCCCUCUCACAGGCGUGAGACCCCCCCCCCCGUGCCCCGUGGACGAUUUUCCUCCAGGCCAGGCCUGGGCCAGUGGUGCUGCAGGACCACAGGUACACACAUGCACACUUGCACACACAUGUACACACUCUCAUUCCUACACACACACACUCACUCCACACGCAUGCUUGCUCACAGUGAAUCACAUCGCCCUUCAUUGAAGGUUUGGGGACAAAGAAGAUGUUUGACCUGCGGCAAUGGCGCAUCUUGACCCUUUUUUUUUUUUUGGCUAUGUUGGGUCUUCGUUGCUGCACGUGGGCUUUCUCUAGUUGCAGCGAGUGGGGGCUACUCUUUGUUGCAGUGCACAGGCUUCUCCUUGCAGUGGCUUCUCUUGCUGUAGAGCAUGGGCUCUAGGCACUCGGGCUUCAGUAGUUGCAGCAGGCAGUCUCAGUAGUUGUGGUUCACGGGCCCUAGAGCACUCGGGCUUCAGUAGUUGUGGCACACAGGCUCAGUAGUUGUGGCACACGGGCUUAGUUGUUCCUCAGCAUGUGGGAUCUUCCUGGACCAGGGAUUGAACCCGUGUCCCCUGCAUUGGCAAGCGGAUUCUUAACCACUGCGCCACCAGGGCAGCCCCUGGACCAUUUUUAAAGUCUCUAUUGAAUUUGUUACAAUAUUGCUUCUGUUUUAUAUUUUUGCUUUUGUUUGGCUGCAUGGCAUGUGGUAUCUUAGCUCCCUGACCAGUGAUCAAACCUGUGCCCCCGGAAUUGAAAGGCGAAGUUUCAACCAAUGGACCACCAGGGAAGUCCCAGCAUCUUAACCUUUAAUAUUAGUUAAUAAUAUAAAUAUUAUUUAAUAACUAAUAUUAAAUAUUUUUAAAUGUCACAUUUAAAAAUAAUGCUUUAAAUUGUGACAUUAACAUAAGCCCAAAGUAAAUACUCAAACAGCACGAAUGAGUCCUCCACCCCAAAGGCAAUCACUGUCCUUUCCCUUAUCUAUCAGGGCCACUGACCUCAGGCAGCCCAGCCAGCACCUGCCACGGGAGGACCCUGCCCCUCCUGGAAGGCAGGCUGGCACGGGGCCCAGACCUGCUCACAGCAGGCUCUCAAAGUGCCAUUUCCUGACCCCCUACUUCCGAACCCCAUGUUUGUUCUCAUCUGCCCUUGCCUGCAGAUAUGUUUUUUGUUGUUGUUGGUGGUGGUGGUGGUGUUUUUUGCGGUACACGGGCCUCUCACUGUUGUGGCCUCUCCCGCUGCGGAGCACAGACUCCGGACGCGCAGGCUCAGCGGCCAUGGCUCACGGGCCCAGCCACUCCGGGGCAUAUGGGACCUUCCCGGACCGGGGCACGAACCCGUGUCCCCUGCAUCGGCAGGCGGACUCUCAACCACUGCACCACCAGGGAAGCCCCUGCAGAUAUGUUUUUUAUCUUUACUUUUGGAUUUUUUCUUUUCUUCUUUUUCUAAUUGAAGUAAGAUACUCAUUACAAAUUUACCACUGUAACCAGGUUUAAGUGCACAGCUCAGGAGCAUUAAGCAUAUUCACAUUGUUGUGCAACCGUCAUCAUCUCCAGAAUUUCCAGAAUUUUCUCACCUUCCCAAAUCGAAACUCUGUCCCCAUUAAACACGACUGUCCGUCCUCCUCCCCAGCCCUUGUGCCCCCACCAUCUGCUUUCUGACGACUCUAGGGCCGCAUAUAAGUGGAGCCAAACCAUAUUUUCCCUUCUGCAUCUGGCUUCUCUCCGUGAGCUUCUCGUCCUUAUCAUUCAUCUACGUUGCAGCAGGUGUCAGGAUUUCCUCCCUUGCUGAGGCUGAAUAACUUGGGAAUUAUUGUUCAGACUCUUUCCCACGUGGCUCUCGCCACCCAAGGUGGGGGCCUGCUGGCUCCCCUUCUCCUUUACCCCCUGUACGCCCACCUGGUGCUGGGUCAGGGGCCCCCCUCCCAGACACUGCAGAAUUCAACUCAGAAUUCCCAUUCCUGGGCCCCAAACAGGGGUGAGGCUCACUGCAAGGGAUGAUGAAACAACAAGUGACUCUUAUCUGUCGCUCAGCUGCUCUGAGGGCUUUGCAGUUACACCCACUGCUCCCCUCAGAUCUGCAUCCCAGGGCGGACGAGCUGCAGGGGCCCCUCCCUCACUGGGAGGCUCGGAGGCCAGGAGGCCUGGCCUUUCUCCCGAACUUUCCCUGGGGCACACAGGCAACGCCCUCCUGGCCACAGGCACCCCAGGUAACCGACUGGGCCCUGGGCACUCACCUUGGUUCUGGGAACACGUUGCCAUUUUCACCGGCAGCCUUUGAGGCGUUGCUCGACAGGACUAAUGGGGAGGGUGGCGGGCGUGGGGCCCACAGAUGGGGCGAUCGCUGGGGACAGAAGCCCUUUCAGGCAGCCCUGUUCUGCCGGGCGAUGCGCCCAUGCCUCUCUGGCCCCUGCCCGACGUCCUGCCUGACUCCCGUCCCUCUCUUAGGCUCCUCCCGGCUCUGCCACCACCCACAGGCAGGAGGGCUCCAGCCCCCAAGCCCUCCCCACCCCGGCCCAGGCGGCCACCCCUGCACACUUUCUCUGGGGAGAAGCAUCCCCCGGGCGCCCCUGGAGGAAACCCUCUGGUGAGGCUGCCUUGCUAGGCCCGAGGCUGCGGCUGGCUACGCAUUUGUGCCAAUGAGAUGAGUCUGCCGUCUGGCAAGACAGAGGCACCAUUCAGGGCCGAGGGACCAUUCUUUCCCAGAGAGCGGGGCUGGGAGGGGCCCGGCCCCGAGGCCCCAGGUUCCCAGAGAGAGGCCUGCAGGUGGGGAGAAGCAGGGCGGAAGGGCUUCUCAGGAUUCCUGCCCUGAUCCGGGCCGCUCCCCGGGGUGCCGGCAGCAAGGCCUGCUUCCCCCCACUUCGUCCAGGGCCGCCCUGUGACCCGGGACGUCAUGGUCUCUGUGAGUCUGAGUGAGCCCGGGGGGCGGCGCGGGGGACCAGUCCUGACCGCCCAGCCGGCCAGCCUCCCAAACGUCCCCUCCAGGUGACUGCCUAACAGAAACCUCCAGUUCACUUCAGUUUACUGCUUAGUCCCCCCGGCUCCUUCUGUCAGGGGCCAAGUCCCGCGUGGGUCUCGGGUUUCUGCCCAUUUUGUGAACGGGGACACUGGCUGCCUUUGCUUCCGACCGGCCGUCUUUUCACGGUGCUUGAACAGCGCCAGCCUUGGUGACACAGAAGGACUUGCUGGGCACAAAGGUCAGCUGGUGCCGCCCUGGUGCCCCGUGAGCCUGCAGGAGGGUGAAGCCUCAGGCCUGUCCCAGGUCUGGUCACCUGGGUUAAGCGCUGUCCUUUUGUUCUAAAACGCGGGCGUGUCCAGGGGAGAAGUCUCAACAAACAAAAAGCACUUUCUCCUAAGAAGGCCCUUGACAAAAACAAGGACAGUGUGGUCCCCCGAAGGUUCCAGAUGGACCGGCUGCCAGGACAGCAGGAGGGGCAGGGGAGCUCAGGGACGCCCAGAGGAAGCCCAGCCCCGGGGCGUCCCUGUCCCUGGGCAGCCUGUAGGGCAGAGCCUCUGAGAGUGUGUCUCAGGGAAAUUACAUCCACUUUCCACAGCUUCUGUGGGAAGCUGGGUCUUUAGUGAGUGCUUUACUUUCUCUUUGUCGGCCCUGCCUGAGCCCGCUGCCUCAGCAGGACCGGCUGGUGGCCCCAAAGCCAGGGACACCCCACGAGUCCUGGCCAAAACCAGCCUGCAGGGCGCCGAGGCCCCAGUACCAGGCCGGGCAGGGUCCCUGGUGGACCUGCGGCAUCCCCCCAGCCCCUGCGCUCUCAAAGCCCCUCGGCGACGGGCGUGGCUCGUCCCGGGUCUGGCGGCAGUGUGCUGCCGCUCCUGGUCUGGCCAGUGGUCAAACCUGCAGGGCCUGACACCCCGAUGGAUAAGAGGGGUGUGCGCGCCAUGACGCGCGUCUGUAAGAUCUACGCUGGUGAAGCCCCAGCAGGCUCGGAGCAGACGGGCACUCCUUGCUGACAGAUUCAAAACCCAAGCUAAAGCGCUGUCCCCAGUUAAGAGCUAACGUGCUAAUGAGUAGCCAAUUUUGUUUUUUUUUAAAGUCGAUCUAUUUGUGAAAUAUCAAUAAAGCCUACGUUUUUAAUAUUUUUUUUAAAAGUUAAAUCUGAAUAGAACCUCUCUUUUCUCCCUGUGCCAAACAGAUGUCUCAGUGCCCACUUGUUUGAUUAACCCGCCAGGAGAACUGUUGGUCCCUGGGCCAGGAGGGACCCAGGUGAAGGGCCCCCCCAGCCCCUGUGGCCACUCGGCUGUGCCCCAGCUGCCCACCCACACGGUGCUGGCCCCGGCGACCUGUUCAUCAACUUGAACCUGGCCGGCGAGUGGCUAAACCUGAUUGAAGAACUUCCGUCCAGGCAGUUCUCAGGAAAUACAUAUGUAUUUCUGAAUCCCAAGAGAAAGCAGUCGAGAAACUGGCACGACAGGAAAAACGACUAUAAUUCUUCUGCAAGAGUUAGAACUUACUAAUCAACACAAAGACGCCGCCAGCUGGGGAAGCCCCUGGCGUCCAGUCGGAAGCUGGAAGUGCUGACGGUGGAGCGGCUCAUCUGGGAAACAGGGCUGUGGUUGGCGUGUGGGAGAGAUGGGGCGGCGUUGCUCCCAGCGGCUGUCAUGGUGUAAGAGGUGAGAGGGCCGGCGCUGCUGGCAGUGAGUCAUUCCUGCGUAUAAAAUCCACACCAGUCAGCACACACACCCAGCGCACUGUUCAAAUCCUGCCAGAGGUGUUGAGGAGUAGCGUACUUGGGAGGCCUUUGGUUCCCGGUCAGUGUCGGGUGUUAACCUCGCUGGCCGCUCAAGCGUCACAUCAUCCCAGCACUCCCCGAGAACGUUCGAGGGUCUGCUGUGGGCUGUGGACACUUGUAAGUGCGGCUAAAGCUAAUAUUCCUUAUUAAACGGAACUUUUUAGAGAUCCGUAACGAUGCAGAGAGUCUGAGAGAUGGCGCAAGUAUUUGAGAAUGAUAAAAGAGAUCAACUAGAUCAUAGCAUUUGUUGUUAUAUGUUUUCAAAACAGAAAGGGAGUUCCCUGGCUCUUUCACUGCUGAGGGCCUGGAGUUACCCCUGGUCGGGGAACUAAGGUCCCACAAGCCACGCGGCACGGCCAGAAAGAAUAAAAAUGAAACAGAAAAGCCAGGCUUCCCUGGUGGCGCAGUGGUGGAGAGUCCGCCUGCCGAUGCAGGGGACACGGGUUCGUGCCCCGGUCCGGGAAGAUCCCACAUGCCGCGGAGCGGCUGCGCCCGUGAGCCGUGGUCGCUGAGCCUGAGCGUCCGGAGCCUGUGCUCCGCAACGGGAGAGGCCACAACAGUGAGAGGCCCGCGUACCCCAGAAAAGAAAAGCCCCCAAACUUUUAACAUGACCCUAUCAUAGGAAAAUUAGUCACUCGUUUUAACCAAUCAAUAUCAGAGACAUGGAAAUAAAGUGUUAUAGAACAAGUACAGACUAAUUCAUGAUUUCAGGAAUUUCUGAUAAUUAUCAGGAAUUCUGACUUUCAUCCCGGGUCUUUUUUUUUUUAAUUUUUAAUUAAUUUUUAUUGGAGUACGGUUGCUUUGCAGUGUUGCGUUAGCCUCCACUGCACAACAGAAUGACUCAGCCGUACGCAUACAGAUAUCCCCUCCCUUUUGGACUUCCCUCCCAUUUAGGUUACCACAGUGCAUCAGGUAGAGUUCCCUGUGCUGUACGGUGCGUUCCCGUCAGUUGUCUAUUUUAUACAUAGUAUCAAUAAUGUAAAUGUGUCAAUCCCAGUCUCCCAGUUCCUCCCACCCCACUCCUUUCCCCCACGGUAUCCAUACAUUUGUCCUCUCCGUGCGUGUCUCAUCAAACCUGUCAGGAAUUUGGGAUGAAGGACGGGCAGCCCAAGCCCACCUCCUGCCCAUCCCCAGCUAUAUCGGGCCCCUUGUUCAUUCAACAAACGUUUCUUGAACUCUGACGAUGCCCAGGGCAGGGCCCUGGUAUGCAGAGUGAGUGGACAUGGGCCCCGCCCUUCAGGAGGGCACACAGGCAGGGGUGGCCGUGAACAGGUGUUUAGAGCGGGAUGGGUUAUCUACUGCUGCCCAGAGAAAGAGGCCAAGGAGACGCACCAGGUAGGCUGGCCUGAGAGGAGGGUGCGUCCCAGGUGGGGCGGGUGGGAGCUCUGUGGAGGAAGGGGCGGAGGGGAGCAGGGGCGAGGUCAGCGCUGAGAGCUCCAGGCCCAGGGCUGCCCUCCCGGCACCACCGGCAGACAGCCUGGGAACGCCCGCCUCCUGCCCGUGGGCUGGGCCUACCCGCGUGCACAGCGCAUGUGUGCGCACAAUCAGAGACAACACCCUUAGGUCAUCAAGUCUGGGGCCCCACCCGUCUGGGCAGCCUGAUUCAGGUGAGGCGGCACGCCGGGAGCCUGAAGGGUGAGCGGCUGCCUGGUGAGGUCGGGGGGUGGACCUCCUCGUGCGACCACUGUGGGAACAGCUGCCAUGCACGUGUCCAGGCUCAGCUCCACGGGGCCUCACAACAGGCCCGCGGGGGGGCCCCGCACCCGCCCGGUGGUGGCUGGGCCCGUGGCUCCCGCCCUGGGUGUGGUCCUGCCGCAGGGGCUGGUGGCAGCUCGCAGGCCUCCACCGGUAGAGGCGGCCCUCCAGGGUGGGCAUCCCUGUCGUUACCUGGGCUUUGUACCAGUUAGUGCCCCGUGGAGCAUUUCCAAGGGCGGCCUGGCAGCCCCCAGCCCCAGAGCCGCUCCCCGUCCCUGGCCCUGGCUGGCCUCCAGCUCAGCCCCAGCGCCCCACCCCGUCCAACCCAGCCCCUCUGCGGCCCCAGCGCUCCCGGGGGACCCUGAGAGACCCAGGGGCCCAGGCUUUCCUCCCGGGAGGCUGGAGAGAGCAUCUCGAAGGUGGAGUCUGAGCUCUCAGGGACGGCGCUGGGCGGGGCAUCUCUGCUGGUGGGGCGUCCCAUGUCGCAGGCACGCAGCUCAUCACAGGUGAGGACAAGGCGGCUGAGAGGAUUAAGCGGUGGGGAUAGUGGGGACAGCAUGGGUGGGGCUAUCCGUCUGGCUGGCUCCAAGCCCAGGCUCCUUCCUGAGGAGUGCACGGAAGGCAAACGCUCGCACACGGACCGUCAGGACCCCUCUGCGCCCCCAGCAGAGACCGUUCAAGGACGAGGGCCCUGCUUCCUGGCCUGGGUCCCUUCUCGGACAGGGUGUUGACCGGCCCCAUGGGCUCCGUCCGCAGCCUUGACUCUCCGGGAAGAAGAGGCUGUGAUCCGCUGGACUGACCUGGGGUCACAGGUCAGAGGAUCUGAUUCCUCAGCAAAUCUGGGGAGACAGGGGAGGAUCCCUCAGAAUGAAGGAUGUGAACAACUCGCACCAGCAGAAGUGAUGAACCGCGCAGGGAAGAAGUUGCCAGAACAGUGGCAUGGCGGCCCCGGGCAGGAGGCGGGGCUGCGGGGACGGCCCUCGGGCUCUGCGUGCUGAGACACCCGGCGCCUGGCAGCCGUUACCCCACACUCGCUUUGUAAUGACUCAUCAAGCCCCACGUCUGUGCUCCGGUCUCCCCCGUACAGAUUUAUCCUGCACACGGCGUCAUUCAGGAGGCCAGGGCCCUUCGCCGCGGGGACCAGAGGCUCCCGGCGUCCCUCGGAAGGGAUGGGAAGAGCGGCUCACAGCCGGAUCCGUAGCACUGCCUCGGGUGUAGACACAGGUGUGCGCGAAUGUGAAUUCACCUCACCCUUGUUGGGAAGGCUGGGGUGACAUCCGAGGAGGCUUUGCCAGCCGGGGGGCAUCAGGGCGCUGGUCAGAGGUGGGAUGAGGGUCAUUCAUGGGAAGGUGGCUUUGAGACCUCUCGGCCACCCUGCCCCUGGCACAGGGUGAACCUGGCCGGCGGUGAAGCCUGCCUGGGUGACCCGGAGCCGUCUCGAGGGCGGCGUCCAGUUCCCACGUGAGUCCUCGGGACAGUGGAGUGUGCACCGUGGCCUGGGUGCCGGGGGUGGAGGGGACGACCCCCACCCAGCUGGCAGCCCCCAGUGCUAUUUGGAGGUGACUCAGGGGCCUGCCCUCUCCCCAUGCACAGCCCCGCCCUUCCAGGGCUGUGCUCACCUUCCUUCUGUACGCGGGCCUCUCACUGUUGUGGCCUCUCCCGUUGCGGAGCACAGGCUCCGGACG